rnacentral:rRNA from 1 species
GGACCCGCACAAGUAGUGGAGCAUGUGGUUUAAUUCGAAGAUACGCGCAGAACCUUACCAACACUUGACAUGUUCGUCGCGACUCUAAGAGAUUAGAGUUUUCGGUUCGGCCGGACGAAACACAGGUGCUGCAUGGCUGUCGUCAGCUCGUGUCGUGAGAUGUUGGGUUAAGUCCCGCAACGAGCGCAACCCUCACUUUUAGUUGCCAUCAUUAAGUUGGGCACUCUGAAAGAACUGCCAGUGAUAAGCUGGAGGAAGGUGGGGAUGACGUCAAGUCCUCAUGGCCCUUACGUGUUGGGCUACACACGUGCUACAAUGGUAUCUACAACAGGAAGCAAAACAGCGAUGUUAAGCAAAUCCUUAAAAGAUACCUCAGUUCGGAUUGCACUCUGCAACUCGAGUGCAUG